UUCCGCCACUCCGCUCGGGGGCUCUUGGCGGCUCCGGCGGGCUUGGGAUGCUGCAGCUGGCGGUGGGUCGCGGCGUUUCGGCUCCCGCUAGACUCCUGUCUGGUUCCACGAUGCCUAAGAAAGCCGGCGCGACGAGCAAGGGUAAAAACCAAACCAAGGAACCAGAGACACCACUUCCUCCCGCAGGGCCUGUGGCAACCGAUCCUAAAGGCUGUGUCACCAUCGCCAUCCAUGCCAAACCCGGCUCUAAACAAAAUGCUGUAACAGAUCUGACCACCGAGGCUGUUGGCGUGGCGAUCGCAGCCCCUCCAUCCGAGGGAGAAGCGAAUGCGGAACUCUGUCGGUAUCUGUCCAAAGUCUUGGAGCUCAGGAAGAGUGACGUGGUUCUGGAUAAGGGUGGUAAAUCUCGGGAAAAGGUGGUGAAACUCUUGGCCUCUACGACUCCAGAAGUGGUCUUGGAGAAACUGAAAAAGGAAGCUGAAAAAAAUAAAGGCAAGAAAUGAUAAGUACGUCCUUCAGGAGUUUCAAUAACAACACAGAGGUGGCUCAAUAAGAAAACAUAUAUGUGUCCAGACAUAGGCAAUGGAAUACACACACACAAAUCAGAUUAAAAUAAAAGUAGAAAAUUUAAGUCUAUCCAUUAAAUAUAGGCUCUAAAAUCCCUCUCCGUUGGAGCCGAAGAGAUGCCUCAGUAGUUACGAGCACUUGGUGCUCUUCCAGGGGUCCUGGGCUUGGCCCCCAGCACCCACAUCAGAGGACUCAUCCUGAAAUUCCAGUUCCAGGCUGUCCCAACAUUUUUUUCUGACCUCUGAGGGCACCUGCAGGCAUGUGAUUCCUGUGUGUAUGUGCACACACAUGCACAUUAAACAGCCUGAAAUAUGUUACUCUAAUUUUAUGGCUUCACCACGGGACAGCUGGACAAGCCAAUCAGGAUGAUCAACCUCACCCUCUGCUGUCCACGGUGGUGCCUCUGAUCUGCAGACAUCAGGAGACCAGUUGAAGAUCACCGCGUACAAGACGACAGCGGGAACCUAGCUCCCUUGACUCCCAUUGGUGCCUUGAGCCUCACAUCACCACAGUGUUUUGGAUUCUGGGGGUUCCUAAUUCUGUUUACAAGUGAAAACCAUUUCAUGCUGCUUUAUAAUCCAACUUCUAUUUUAAGAUGUUUAUUUAAAUGCCAAAAUGUUUUUUAUAUCUUUUAAAAAGUGUAUGGAACAUUUUGUGAAAAAGUAAAUAAUCAUAGACCUGUAACGUAAUGUCAGUCAGUUAGUUUUGAAAACCUUGUAAAUCUUCUAAUCGAGAAGUUCUUAGGAAUCUCCAAAGAUCUUAAAAGAGUAAAGAAGUGGCGGGGCCAUGGCUCGCGGUUAAGAAGCUUUGCUGCUCUUGGAGAGGACUUGAGUUCACUUCCCAACAACGCGAUGUGGGAUGCCUCACAACUGCCGAUGUGGUCGCCUUCAGCAGUCCUAAUCGCCUCUCAUCCUCAUUGAUGGGAACGUGGACCUGCCCCAGAAGACCGGGUCGGCAACUCUCUUCAGUCGGACCCAGGUUUGAUCUCACCUCAAGAAUACUGAAGUAGAGCCAGGAACAAGGACACAAAAUCCAGCCUCUGUUAGCCUUUUCCAGGAGGUGGCACUGUGGCGCCGCAGCAGAAAUCGACGACUACUUUGACGCCGGUCAAUGCAGUUGUAGGACUUUCCUUCCGCACUGCGGUUCCCACACGCUCAGAAUCUCUUGUCUUUCCAGAGAUGUUCUUGAAGCUUAGAUCCCUUGGCCCUGAAAAGUUUCUCGCAGGACAGUGUUGGCUGAGAGCCAGCUGGGUACUCAGCCGUCCAGGUGAGCGCCAUGGAAGACAGCAGGAUCCUAAGCCCUUCCCUCUGCUCCGGCGCUUUCAGAGAUCCCACCGCGCGUCAGAGUUUCUGAAAAUGGCACUGAGCAGGACAACUGGCCAGGUCCCUGACGUGCCCGUUUAGUUGACUGAAGAACACACCCACCCAUAGGCUGUGUAGUGGGAUCUUCUAAUGAGAACAGCCUGCCCCCGUGAGAAAUCUACAAAUGCCAUCCUUUGAAGGUGUCUCAGAGAGGCUGGGAUUAGAGCCAGGGAAUCCCCGAACUCCGCAGCCAAAGUUAGAGCCACCUUAGUCAUUUUACACGACAGUCGCCUCACCGGUGAUGUGUUCUGCCAUCACAGGGGCUUCCGAAUUAUGACAAAGCCUUAGAUUUCCUCAGAUCCCUGGAGGUCAGCAGCACAAUGCAGAGGAAGGAAGCAAAUUAUUGGUAGGAGGGCAAACCUCUACUCUCUUCUGAGGCUGUACUGUCCAUAUGGUAGGUAGCUGCUUGCCACAUGACACCUGCUCACGUCAGGUCCUGGGGAAACACCCUAAGCAGGCCUGAGUUUAAAAAGAGAGAGCUAGAAAGCCGGCUAGCAAUUAGGAUCCAGGCUGCUCUUCCAGAGGACUGAGUUCAGUUCCCAGGACCCACAUUCAUGAUUCACAACCACCUGUAACUCCAGCUCCAGGAAGUCCAAUACCUCUGGACUGGGAUGCCCACACACACACGCACAUACUCACACAUACGCAUGAUUAAAAAUAAUACGUCUUUGAGAAUAAUAAGAAGCCGGGUGGUCGUGGCACAUGCCUUUAAUUCCAGCACUUGGGAGGCAGAGGCAGACGGAUCUCUGUGAGUUCGAGGCCAGCCUGGUCUACAAGAGCUAGUUCCAGGACAGGCUCUAAAACUACAGUGAA